AGCUAUUUAUUUAGCCAAGGAUGACUUGCCGACAGCGUGCUAUCAGUUUCUGCUGCUUGUGCGGAUAUUGAUUUUGAGUUUCUGGGCAAGUUGUCAUUGGCUAAAUAUUUUGCUCU
rfam:Picea glauca, whole genome shotgun sequence.